AGCGAACGCUGGCGGCGUGCUUAACACAUGCAAGUCGAACGUGAAAUGUAGCAAUACAGAGUAAAGUGGCGUACGGGUGAGUAACACGUGGGUAAUCUACCAAAGAGCCUGGAAUAACCGACCGAAAGGUUGGCUAAUACUGGAUAGUUCAAAUGAAAUAUAAUGUUUCGAUUGGGAAAGGGAGCGAGCAAUCGCCUUCACUUUUUGAUGAGCCCGCGUCUGAUUAGCUAGUUGGUAGGGUAAUGGCCUACCAAGGCGACGAUCAGUAGCUGGUCUGGGAGGAUGAUCAGCCACACUGGAACUGAAACAAGGUCCAGACUCCUACGGGAGGCAGCAGUGGGGAAUCUUGCGCAAUGGACGAAAGUCUGACGCAGCCACGCCGCGUGAGUGAAGAAGGCCUUCGGGUUGUAAAGCUCUGUCGGAAGGGACAAAAACGUUUAAGGUUAAUAGCCUUAGAUCUUGAUGGUACCUUCAAAGGAAGCACCGGCUAACUUCGUGCCAGCCGCCGCCGUAA
rnacentral:rRNA from 1 species